AGUGAACGCUGGCGGUAGGCCUAACACAUGCAAGUCGAACGGCAGCACAGUAAGAGCUUGCUCUUACGGGUGGCGAGUGGCGGACGGGUGAGGAAUACAUCGGAAUCUACUUUUUCGUGGGGGAUAACGUAAGGAAACUUACGCUAAUACCGCAUACGACCUACGGGUGAAAGCAGGGGAUCUUCGGACCUUGCGCGAUUGAAUGAGACGAUGUCGGAUUAGCUAGUUGGCGGGGUAAAGGCCCACCAAGGCGACGAUCCGUAGCUGGUCUGAGAGGAUGAUCAGCCACACUGGAACUGAGACACGGUCCAGACUCCUACGGGAGGCAGCAGUGGGGAAUAUUGGACAAUGGGCGCAAGCCUGAUCCAGCCAUACCGCGUGGGUGAAGAAGGCCUUCGGGUUGUAAAGCCCUUUUGUUGGGAAAGAAAAGCAGCAGGUUAAUACCCCGCUGUUCUGACGGUACCCAAAGAAUAAGCACCGGCUAACUUCGUG
rnacentral:rRNA from 1 species